rnacentral:tRNA from 1 species
UAGCCUAGUGGUUAAGGCAAUGGAUUGCCAAUCCAGAGACGGCGGGUUCGAUUGCCGU